rnacentral:tRNA from 2 species
GCCCGGAUGGCGGAAUCGGCAGACGCGGAGGCCUCAAAAGCCUCUGUCCUUAGUGGCGUGCGGGUUCGAGUCCCGCUCCGGGCACCA